rnacentral:SRP_RNA from 1 species
GCCAGGCAUUGUGGUGCAUGCCUGUGGUCCCAGCUACUAGGGAGGCUGAGGCAGGAGAAUCAUGUGAGCCCAGGAGGUCUAGGCUGCAGUGAGCCAUGAUCACACUACUGCACUCCAGCCUGGGUGACAGAGUGAGACCCUGUCUCAA